CCUACGGGAGGCUGCAGUAGGGAAUAUUGCUCAAUGGGGGAAACCCUGAAGCAGCAACGCCGCGUGGAGGAUGAAGGUUUUCGGAUUGUAAACUCCUUUUGUUAGAGAAGAUAAUGACGGUAUCUAACGAAUAAGCACCGGCUAACUCCGUGCCAGCAGCCGCGGUAAUACGGAGGGUGCAAGCGUUACUCGGAAUCACUGGGCGUAAAGAGCGCGUAGGCGGGAUAGCAAGUCAGAUGUGAAAUCCUAUGGCUUAACCAUAGAACUGCAUUUGAAACUGUUAUUCUAGAGUAUGGGAGAGGUAGGUGGAAUUCUUGGUGUAGGGGUAAAAUCCGUAGAGAUCAAGAGGAAUACUCAUUGCGAAGGCGACCUACUAGAACAUAACUGACGCUGAUGCGCGAAAGCGUGGGGAGCAAACAGGAUUAGAUACCCCUGUAGUC
rnacentral:rRNA from 1 species